UACGUAGGGUGCAAGCGUUGUCCGGAAUUAUUGGGCGUAAAGAGCUCGUAGGCGGUUUGUCGCGUCUGCUGUGAAAACGCGAGGCUCAACCUCGCGCCUGCAGUGGGUACGGGCAGACUAGAGUGCGGUAGGGGAGAUUGGAAUUCCUGGUGUAGCGGUGGAAUGCGCAGAUAUCAGGAGGAACACCGAUGGCGAAGGCAGAUCUCUGGGCCGUUUGACUGACGCUGAGGAGCGAAAGCGUGGGGAGCGAACAGG
rnacentral:rRNA from 1 species